GUAACGGUGUCGGAGUGGUUAAGGAGAUUGACUAGAAAACAAUUGCGCUCUGCCCGUGAAGGUUCGAAUCCUGCCCGCUGCG
rnacentral:tRNA from 1 species